rnacentral:rRNA from 1 species
UACGUAGGGUGCGAGCGUUGUCCGGAUUUAUUGGGCGUAAAGAGCUCGUAGGCGGCUUGUCGCGUCGGAGGUGAAAUCCUGGAGCUCAACUCCAGAACUGCCUUCGAUACUGGGAAGCUUGAGUUCGGGAGAGGUGAGUGGAACUGCGAGUGUAGAGGUGAAAUUCGUAGAUAUUCGCAAGAACACCGGUGGCGAAGGCGGGUCUCUGGGCCGAUACUGACGCUGAGGAGCGAAAGCGUGGGGAGCGAACAGG